rnacentral:rRNA from 1 species
AUACGGAGGGUGCAAGCGUUGUUCGGAAUUAUUGGGCGUAAAGCGCGUGUAGGCGGUUUCUUAAGUCUGAUGUGAAAGCCCCGGGCUCAACCUGGGAAGUGCAUUGGAAACUGGGGGACUUGAGUACGGGAGAGGGUAGUGGAAUUCCUAGUGUAGGAGUGAAAUCCGUAGAUAUUAGGAGGAACACCGGUGGCGAAGGCGGCUACCUGGACCGAUACUGACGCUGAGACGCGAAAGCGUGGGGAGCAAACAGGAUUAGAUACCCUGGUAGUCCACGCCGUAAACGAUGAGUACUAGGUGUUGCGGGUAUUGACCCCUGCAGUGCCGCAGCUAACGCAUUAAGUACUCCGCCUGGGAAGUACGGCCGCAAGGCUAAA